rnacentral:rRNA from 1 species
GAUGAACGCUGGCGGCGUGCUUAACACAUGCAAGUCGAACGGAAAGGCUCCUGCUUGCAGGGGUACUCGAGUGGCGAACGGGUGAGUAACACGUGGGUGAUCUGCCCUGCACUUCGGGAUAAGCCUGGGAAACUGGGUCUAAUACCGGAUAGGACGAUGGGUUGGAUGCCAUUGUGGAAAGUUUUUCGGUGUGGGAUGAGCUCGCGGCCUAUCAGCUUGUUGGUGGGGUAAUGGCCUACCAAGGCGUCGACGGGUAGCCGGCCUGAGAGGGUGUACGGCCACAUUGGGACUGAGCUACGGCCCAGACUCCUACGGGAGGCAGCAGUGGGGAAUAUUGCACAAUGGGCGCAAGCCUGAUGCAGCGACGCCGCGUGGGGGAUGACGGCCUUCGGGUUGUAAACUCCUUUCGCUAGGGACGAAGCGCAAGUGACGGUACCUGGAGAAGAAGCACCGGCUAACUACGU